rnacentral:rRNA from 1 species
AACGAACGCUGGCGGCAGGCCUAACACAUGCAAGUCGAACGCCGUAGCAAUACGGAGUGGCAGACGGGUGAGUAACACGUGGGAACGUACCUUUCGGUUCGGAAUAACUCAGGGAAACUUGAGCUAAUACCGGAUACGUGCGAGAGCAGAAAGAUUUAUCGCCGAAAGAUCGGCCCGCGUCCGAUUAGCUUGUUGGUGAGGUAAUGGCUCACCAAGGCGACGAUCGGUAGCUGGUCUGAGAGGAUGAUCAGCCACACUGGGACUGAGACACGGCCCAGACUCCUACGGGAGGCAGCAGUGGGGAAUAUUGGACAAUGGGCGAAAGCCUGAUCCAGCCAUGCCGCGUGAGUGAUGAGGGCCUUAGGGUUGUAAAGCUCUUUCGGCGGGGAAGAAAUUGCUUGGGUUAAUACCCUGAGUAGAUGACGGUACCCGAAUAAGAAGCACCGGCUAACUACGUGCCAGCAGCCGCGGUAAGCUACGUAGA